GAUGAACGCAGGCUACAGGCUUAACACAUGCAAGUCGAGGGGAAACGGCGUUGAGUGCUCGCACUCUUCGGACGCCGACCGGCGCACGGGUGAGUAACGCGUAUCCAACCUUCCCGUCACUGCGGGAUAACCUGCCGAAAGGCAGACUAAUACCGCAUGGCCUUCACUGACGGCAUCCGAGGUGAAGUAAAGCUUUUUGCGGUGACGGACGGGGAUGCGUCUGAUUAGCUUGUGGCGGGGCGACGGCCCACCAAGGCGACGAUCAGUAGGGGUUCUGAGAGGAAGGUCCCCCACAUUGGAACUGAGACACGGUCCAAACUCCUACGGGAGGCAGCAGUGAGGAAUAUUGGUCAAUGGGCGGAAGCCUGAACCAGCCAAGUAGCGUGCAGGACGACGGCCCUACGGGUUGUAAACUGCUUUUAUGCGGGGAUAAAGUGAGGGACGCGUCCCUUUUUGCAGGUACCGCAUGAAUAAGGACCGGCUAAUUCCGUGCCAGCAGCCGCGGUAAUACGGAAGGUCCGGGCGUUAUCCGGAUUUAUUGGGUUUAAAGGGAGCGUAGGCCGGGGAUUAAGUGUGUUGUGAAAUGUAGGCGCUCAACGUCUGAUGUGCAGCGCAUACUGGUUCCCUUGAGUACGCGCAACGCCGGCGGAAUUCGUCGUGUAGCGGUGAAAUGCUUAGAUAUGACGAAGAACCCCGAUUGCGAAGGCAGCCGGCGGGAGCGCAACUGACGCUGAAGCUCGAAGGUGCGGGUAUCGAACAGG
rnacentral:rRNA from 1 species